UACGUAGGGGGCGAGCGUUGUCCGGAGUUACUGGGCGUAAAGCGCACGCAGGCGGUCUGCUAAGUUUGGAGUGACAGUUGGUGGCUUAACUGCCAAAGUGCUUCGAAAACUGACAGACUUGAGGGCUUCAGAGGGACACGGAAUUCCGGGUGUAGCGGUGGAAUGCGUAGAGAUCCGGAAGAACACCGGUGGCGAAGGCGGUCUGCUGGGCAGUUGCUGACACUGAGGCGCGACAGCGUGGGGAGCAAACAGG
rnacentral:rRNA from 1 species